rnacentral:rRNA from 1 species
UCCGGUGGCGAUGGCGGAGGGGACACACCCGUUCCCAUUCCGAACACGGCCGUUAAGCCCUCCAGCGCCGAUGGUACUGGGUUUACCCGGGAGAGUAGGACGCUGCCGGAU